GCCCGACUGGUCUAGUGGUAUGAUUCGUCCUUCGGGAUACAAAAUUCCCAUCCAUAUGUGUAUGGAUACAAUAAAUGGACGAGGUCCCCGGUUCAAUCCCGGGGUCGGGCC